rnacentral:tRNA from 1 species
UCCUGGCUGGCUCAGCCAGUAGAGCAUGUGACUCUUGAUCUCUAGGCCGUGAGUUCAAGCCUUACGUUGAGGG